CGCAGCACCCAGGGCAGGGCAGCAGACAGCUGGGGUGAAACUCUGCCCUGCACCUUCUAGCUCCUCGGCUGGGCGACAGUAAGACCACCUUGCAGGGCUGUCAUGGGAACAAGAUGAGGCUGCAUGAAGAUGCCCAGUGCAGGGAGGACCGAGAGAAGAGGACCUGUGCUCAGUUCCUUCCUGCCGGUUCUCAGAGCAGCCUUGCUUCUUCAUUAUUAUCAUCAUCACCGUCACCCCAGAAACUCGUGAGCGUCCACGACGGACAAAAAUGGACAGCAGCUCUAUAGGCUGAUAGCAAAAGGAGACCCGACCCCAAUUUCCCGGGAAACUUUGACUCACAUCACUGUUAAUA